rnacentral:rRNA from 1 species
GGCCGUACCAUAGGGGGGAGGAGGAGGGGAAGGUCAUUACCUAGAGUUGUAGGCUUUGCCUGCUAUCUCUUACCCAUGUCUUUUGAGUACCUUACGUUUCCUCGGUGGGUUCGCCCACCGAUUGGACAAAUUUAAACCCUUUGCAGUUGAAAUCAGCGUCUGAAAAAACUUAAUAGUUACAACUUUCAACAACGGAUCUCUUGGUUCUGGCAUCGAUGAAGAACGCAGCGAAAUGCGAUAAGUAGUGUGAAUUGCAGAAUUCAGUGAAUCAUCGAAUCUUUGAACGCACAUUGCGCCCCUUGGUAUUCCAUGGGGCAUGCCUGUUCGAGCGUCAUUUGUACCUUCAAGCUCUGCUUGGUGUUGGGUGUUUGUCUCCUGUAGACUCGCCUCAAAACAAUUGGCAGCCGGCGUAUUGAUUUCGGAGCGCAGUACAUCUCGCGCUUUGCACUCAUAACGACGACAUCCAAAAGUACAUUUUUACACUCUUGACCUCGGAUCAGGUAGGGAUACCCGCUGAACUUAAGCAUAUCAAUAAGCGGGAGGAA